AUUGAACGCUGGCGGCAGGCCUAACACAUGCAAGUCGGGCGAACGAGGCUUCGGCCAAGUGAGCGGCGAACGGGUGAGUAACACGUAGGAAUCUGCCUGGUAGUGGGGGACAACGUCUCGAAAGGGACGCUAAUACCGCAUACGCCCUACGGGGGAAAGCAGGGGCUCGUCGGACCUUGUGCUAUCAGAUGAGCCUGCGUCGGAUUAGCUAGUUGGUAGGGUAAAGGCCUACCAAGGCGACGAUCCGUAACUGGUCUGAGAGGAUGAUCAGUCACACCGGAACUGAGACACGGUCCGGACUCCUACGGGAGGCAGCAGUGGGGAAUAUUGGACAAUGGGGGCAACCCUGAUCCAGCCACGCCGCGUGUGUGAAGAAGGCCUUCGGGUUGUAAAGCACUUUAGGUCGGGAGGAAGGUUCGCUGGCUAAUAUCCAGCGGAAUUGACGUUACCGACAGAAUAAGCACCGGCUAACUCCGUGCCAGCAGCCGCGGUAAUAC
rnacentral:rRNA from 1 species